rnacentral:rRNA from 1 species
AACGAACGCUGGCGGCAGGCUUAACACAUGCAAGUCGAGCGCUGUAGCAAUACAGAGCGGCGCACGGGUGAGUAACACGUGGGAACGUGCCCUAUGGUUCGGAAUAACUCAGGGGAACGUUGAGCUAAUACCGGAUAAGCCCUUACGGGAAAGAUUAUCGCCAUUGGAGCGGCCCGCGUCCGAUUAGCUUGUUGGUGAGGUAAAAGACUCACCAAGGCGACGAUCGGUAGC